rnacentral:rRNA from 1 species
GAUGAACGCUGGCGGCGUGCCUAAUACAUGCAAGUCGAGCGAACGGACGAGAAGCUUGCUUCUCUGAUGUUAGCGGCGGACGGGUGAGUAACACGUGGAUACCCUACCUAUAAGACUGGGAUAACUUCGGGAAACCGGAGCUAAUACCGGAUAAUAUUUUGAACCGCAUGGUUCAAAAGUGAAAGACGGUCUUGCUGUUACUUAUAGAUGGAUCCGCGCUGCAUUAGCUAGUUGGUAAGGUAACGGCUUACCAAGGCAACGAUGCAUAGCCGACCUGAGAGGAUGAUCGGCCACACUGGAACUGAGACACGGUCCAGACUCCUACGGGAGGCAGCAGUAGGGAAUCUUCCGCAAUGGGCGAAAGCCUGACGGAGCAACGCCGCGUGAGUGAUGAAGGUCUUCGGAUCGUAAAGCUCUGUUAUUAGGGAAGAACAUAUGUGUAAGUAACUGUGCACAUCUUGACGGUACCUAAUCAGAAAGCCACGGCUAACUACGUG